UACGGGGGGGGCAAGCGUUGUUCGGAAUUACUGGGCGUAAAGGGCGCGUAGGCGGUUCGCUAAGUUGAAUGUGAAAACUCUGGGCUUAACCCAGAGCCUGCAUCCAAAACUGGCGAACUGGAGUACUGGAGGGGAAAGCGGAAUUCCUGGUGUAGCGGUGAAAUGCGUAGAUAUCAGGAGGAACACCGGUGGCGAAGGCGGGUCUCUGGGCCGAUACUGACGCUGAGGAGCGAAAGCGUGGGGAGCGAACAGG
rnacentral:rRNA from 1 species